UACGUAGGGGGCAAGCGUUAUCCGGAUUUACUGGGCGUAAAGGGCGCGUAGGCGGCUCGCGAGGUCGGGGGUGAAAUCCCACGGCUUAACCGUGGAAGGGCCUUCGAUACCGGCGGGCUGGAGGAAGGUAGGGGUGCGUGGAACUUCUAGUGGAGCGGUGAAAUGCGUUGAUAUCAGAAGGAACGCCGGCGGCGAAAGCGA
rnacentral:rRNA from 1 species